rnacentral:rRNA from 1 species
GAUGAACACUGGCGGCGUGCCUAAUACAUGCAAGUCGAGCGAACAGAUGAGGAGCUUGCUCCUCUGACGUUAGCGGCGGACGGGUGAGUAACACGUGGAUAACCUACCUAUAAGACUGGGAUAACUUCGGGAAACCGGAGCUAAUACCGGAUAAUAUAUUGAACCGCAUGGUUCAAUAGUGAAAGACGGUUUUGCUGUCACUUAUAGAUGGAUCCGCGCCGCAUUAGCUAGUUGGUGAGGUAACGGCUUACCAAGGCAACGAUGCGUAGCCGACCUGAGAGGGUGAUCGGCCACACUGGAACUGAGACACGGUCCAGACUCCUACGGGAGGCAGCAGUAGGGAAUCUUCCGCAAUGGGCGAAAGCCUGACGGAGCAACGCCGCGUGAGUGAUGAAGGUCUUCGGAUCGUAAAACUCUGUUAUUAGGGAAGAACAAAUGUGUAAGUAACUAUGCACGUCUUGACGGUACCUAAUCAGAAAGCCACGGCUAACUACGUG